rnacentral:rRNA from 1 species
UACGGGGGGGGCAAGCGUUGUUCGGAAUUACUGGGCGUAAAGGGCUCGUAGGUGGCCAACUAAGUCAGACGUGAAAUCCCUCGGCUUAACCGGGGAACUGCAUCUGAUACUGGAUGGCUUGAGUUUGGGAGAGGGAUGCGGAAUUCCAGGUGUAGCGGUGAAAUGCGUAGAUAUCUGGAGGAACACCAAUAGCGAAGGCAGCUCGCUGGGACGUUACUGACACUGAGGCGCGAAAGCGUGGGGAGCGAACAGG